GCCAGGUGUGGUGGCAUACACCUGUAAUCCCAGCUACUCGGGAGGCUGAGGCAGGGGAAUCUCUUGAACCCAGGAGGUGGAGGUUGCAGUGAACUGAGAUCGCGCCACUGCACUCCCGCCUGGGUGACAGAGUGAUACUCCGUCUCAA
rnacentral:SRP_RNA from 1 species